rnacentral:rRNA from 1 species
AUACGUAGGGUGCAAGCGUUAAUCGGAAUUACUGGGCGUAAAGCGUGCGCAGGCGGUUUUGGAAGACACAGGGGAAAUCCCCCGGCCCAACCUGGGAACUGGCUUUGUGACUGCAAGGCUAGAGGACGGCAGAGGGGGAUUGAAUUCCGCGUGUAGCAGGUAAAGGCGUAGAUAUGCGGAGGAACACCGAUGGCGAAGGCAAUCCCCUGGGCCUGUACUGACGCUCAUGCACGAAAGCGUGGGGAGCAAACAGGAUUAGAUACCCUGGUAGUCCACGCCCUAAACGAUGUCAACUGGUUGUUGGGUCUUCAUUGACUCAGUAACGAAGCUAACGCGUGAAGUUGACCGCCUGGGGAGUACGGCCGCAAGGUUGAAACUCAAAUGAAUUGGCGGGG